rnacentral:rRNA from 1 species
CACAUGGGACGCAAGCGUUAUCCGGAAUCACUGGGCGUAAAGCGCCUGUAGGUGGUGAUGCAAGUCACUGGUGCAAAACUCUGGCUCAACCGGAGGAAAGCCAGUGAAACUGCAUGACUAGAGUGUGGGAGAGGUAGAAGGAAUUCCCUGAGUAGCGGUGAAAUGCGUAGAUACAGGGAAGAACACCGGAGGCGAAAGCGUUCUACUGGAACACAACUGACACUGAGAGACGAAAGCUAGGGGAGCGAAUGGG